AGUGAACGCUGGCGGUAGGCCUAACACAUGCAAGUCGAACGGCAGCACAGUAAGAGCUUUCUCUUACGGGUGGCGAGUGGCGGACGGGUGACGAAUACAUCGGAAUCUACUUUUUCUUGGGUGAUAACGUAGGGAAACUUCCGCUACUACCUCAUACGUCCUACGGGUUAAUUCAGUGGUUCUUCGCACCUUUCCUGAUUGAAUGAGCCGAUGUCGGAUUAGCUAGUUGGCGGGGUAAAGGCCCACCAAGGCGACGAUCCGUAGCUGGUCUGAGAGGAUGAUCGGCCACACUGGAACUGAGACACGGUCCAGACUCCUACGGGAGGCAGCAGUGGGGAAUAUUGGACAAUGGGCGCAAGCCUGAAGCAGCCAUGCCGCGUGGGUGAAGAAGGCCUUCGGGUUGUAAAACCCUUUUGUUAGGAAAGAAAAACAGCAGGUUAAAACCCGGAUGUUCUGACGGUACCCAAAGAAUAAGCACCGGCUAACUUCGUG
rnacentral:rRNA from 1 species